rnacentral:rRNA from 1 species
UGGGGGAUAUUGCACAAUGGGGGGAAACCCUGAUGCAGCGACGCCGCGUGAGGGAAGACGGUCCUCUGGAUUGUAAACCUCUGUCUUCGGGGACGAAACGAGACGGUACCCGAGGAGGAAGCCACGGCUAACUACGUGCCAGCAGCCGCGGUAAUACGUAUGGUGCAAGCGUUAUCCGGAUUUACUGGGUGUAAAGGGAGCGCAGACGGCAUGGCAAGCCAGAUGUGAAAGGUGGGGGCUCAACCCCCAAGCUGCAUUUGGAACUGUCAAGCUAGAGUAUCGGAGAGGUAAGUGGAAUUCCUAGUGUAGCGGUGAAAUGCGUAGAUAUUAGGAGGAACACCAGUGGCGAAGGCGGCUUACUGGACGAUAACUGACGUUGAGGCUCGAAAGCGUGGGGAGCAAACAGGAUUAGAUACCCUGGUAGU